ACAAUCCAACCACGUUCUCUCCAUCUUUCUCCUCUGGAUUGGAUUGUGACUCAUCUCCCCUUCCAAACUAUUCCUGGUGCUGGAUUAUUCCCAUGGUAGUUGGGGUAACCAGCUCUGGUUCCUCUCUCUCCUGGACUACACACCUGUCUGCCUGCUGGCUCCUCUUUGGGCUCUGUCCCAGGCAUCUCAUCUGUAAGUACCUUUCCUCACUGGGCAUACCCCCAGACAGACAUUAAGAAUCCAGGGUUUGAGUGACUCAGAGCUGUGUUUGCUGGUGGGAUGGGCCUGAGGGCAGGAUUCUGCCAUUUGUAAACCUCUACGGAUGAAGAAGCUCAUAGCAGCUGCCAAAGGGCAGGCAGUUGAGGGUUUUCAUUUCAUAAGAUGCUGUUCCCUCAGUGGUCCUUUAAUCCAAUGCCAAAGGGAUAAAAAAAAAAUUAGAAAAAUCUCCAGAAUUUUCUUUUAGCCUCUUAGGAAGAACAUAAGGAAAAGACUCCAUUGCUGUUUUGUCCCUGUCUUCCAUCCUUUCCCAUUUGGAUCAGAAUUCAUCAGGAAAGUUCCAUUCAUUCUUUCAUUUAUUCCAUAUAUUUAACAAGUAUUUUUAAAGCAUCACUUAUUGAUUAAUUAUUCAAUAACAUUUCAGUUCAUGUAUAUCAGAGGAGACACUUGAAUGUCCCAACUCUAAUGAUGGCUGUUAUCCACUGACCAGGCUGCUGCCCUUACAUAAAAAUUUAUAGGUUUAAUCCCAUAGUAAUUCAACUACCAAGAGGUUACUGUAGAGAGCUAGACAAAACAAGAAACUUCAUUAAAGGAACAAAAAUCUAAUUGAUGCAUCAUCAUAAUAUCAGUCACGUCAAUAAGUCAAGUCAGUAAGCAUUUAUCAAGAACCUACUGUAUGUCAGGCACUGUCCUUAACAUUGGACAUAUAAAGGCAAAAAAAUAGUCCAUGCUUUCAAGAAGCUUACAGUGGAAUAGGGAGACAACGUACACACUAUGUCCUGAGUUCAAAUCCAGCCUCAGAUACUUAUUAACUGUGUGACCCUGGGUGAGUCACUUAACCCUGUUUGCCUUAGUUUCCUCAUCUGUAAAGUGAGCUGGAGAAGGAAAUGGCAAAUCACUCCAGUAUCUUUGCCAAGAAAACCCAAAAUGGGGUUACCAAGAUUUGAACAUGAAUGAAAAAUGACUGAAAAACAACAAAAUAUUUAAUGUAUAUACAUAUGCAUAUACAUAUAUUUCAUA
rnacentral:lncRNA from 1 species